UGGAGGGCAGUGUCUGGUAGAUUGUGAGUCUGUGUCUGAUUGCCCUCCAAUCUACCAGACACUGCCGGCCAAUCUACCAGACACAUAUUCACAAUCUACCAGACACUGCCUUCCA
rnacentral:pre_miRNA from 1 species